rnacentral:rRNA from 1 species
CCUACGGGAGGCAGCAGUGAGGAAUAUUGGUCAAUGGGCGAGAGCCUGAACCAGCCAAGUCGCGUGAAGGAUGACUGUCUUAUGGAUUGUAAACUUCUUUUGUAGGGGAAUAAAGAGGGGCACGUGUGCCUCAGUGAAUGUACCCUACGAAUAAGCAUCGGCUAACUCCGUGCCAGCAGCCGCGGUAAUACGGAGGAUGCGAGCGUUAUCCGGAUUUAUUGGGUUUAAAGGGUGCGUAGGCGGCCUGUUAAGUCAGCGGUGAAAUCUAGGAGCUUAACUCCUAAAUUGCCAUUGAUACUGGCGGGCUUGAGUGUAGAUGAGGUAGGCGGAAUGCGUGGUGUAGCGGUGGAAUGCAUAGAUAUCACGCAGAACUCCGAUUGCGAAGGCAGCUUACUAAGGUACAACUGACGCUGAAGCACGAAAGCGUGGGUAUCAAACAGGAUUAGAUACCCUGGUAGUCCACGCAGUAAACGAUGAUAACUGGGCGUAUGCGAUAUACAGUAUGCUCCUAAGCGAAAGCGUUAAGUUAUCCACCUGGGGAGUACGCCGGCAACGGUGAAACUCAAAGGAAUUGACGGCUGCUGCCUCCCGUAGG